AUGCAGUCUGUGCUUAGGCUCUUAAUCUUCUUUGUUGUCCUAAGAAUAGAUAAUGCCAGACAUGUUCCUCUUGAGUGUGAGGUUUGCAAUGCCACUUGGAGAUUGUGCUCUAGCCCUAA
rnacentral:lncRNA from 11 species